AUGCAAGCAACUCAUUGUCACCUUCAAGUUUAGCCAAGUCCUCUUCCUUCAUGUUAAUGUAUGCUUCUAUUCCACCACCAGACUUGGCGUCCAUGAAAACAACCAAGUUAUUUCAAGGGGAAAUACCACAAAAUACCAUCAAGGCACUUCUCCAGACACCAUCCUGGACAUUUUGGGAAUACCAUCUAUAAAUACAUACUUAUUGGCCUUACGAUUUUUUCUCAGUUUUUCUUUUCUCUCUCAGCUCUCUCUCUCUCUCUCUCUCUCUCUCUCUCUCUCUCUCUCUCUCUCGUACAAAGUCCAUUGUCGAGAACCAAAAUCUGGGCAGAUUUGUCCCUUCAGUCAUGAAUGGAAGCUAUCAGAAAGCAAGCGACCAGGCUUCGCGAACGGGUCGCUAGGCAACAACAGGGAAGCUAUGAAAAUAUGCUGGCAAGAAGAGAUGCUGGAGUAAAGGUGCUGGUAUUGGCUGCCAGUUGUUUUGUGUGACCUCCUUUGAUAACUCUUUCUAUUCCAAGAACAUUGCUUUGUCAAAAACCUUUUGCAAUGCGAUACAAGCAAAGUAAUUUAACAGUGAAGUCAUUGCUUGCAGUUGGCUUGUGCUUAGUAGCGUGCGAUAGUCUUCUUAAGUUGUCUGAGAAGUGGAACUUAUUUGGGGCUUUGAAAUUCAAAUUUGUUUUUUUAUUUAUUGCUUGUUUAUUUCCAUUUUAUUGUCAUUCUAUUGCCAUUUUA